rnacentral:rRNA from 1 species
CCUACGGGUGGCUGCAGUGGGGAAUAUUGCACAAUGGGCGCAAGCCUGAUGCAGCCAUGCCGCGUGUGUGAAGAAGGCCUUCGGGUUGUAAAGCACUUUCAGCGGGGAGGAAGGCGGUGAGGUUAAUAACCUCAUCGAUUGACGUUACCCGCAGAAGAAGCACCGGCUAACUCCGUGCCAGCAGCCGCGGUAAUACGGAGGGUGCAAGCGUUAAUCGGAAUUACUGGGCGUAAAGCGCACGCAGGCGGUCUGUCAAGUCGGAUGUGAAAUCCCCGGGCUCAACCUGGGAACUGCAUUGGAAACUGGCAGGCUAGAGUCUUGUAGAGGGGGGUAGAAUUCCAGGUGUAGCGGUGAAAUGCGUAGAGAUCUGGAGGAAUACCGGUGGCGAAGGCGGCCCCCUGGACAAAGACUGACGCUCAGGUGCGAAAGCGUGGGGAGCAAACAGGAUUAGAUACCCCUGUAGUC